ensembl:piRNA 21ur-5818 ncRNA
UUCCUAGGAUCGUUGCACAAA